ACUGCGAAUGGCUCAUUAAAUCAGUUAUCGUUUAUUUGAUAGUACCUUACUACUUGGAUAACCGUGGUAAUUCUAGAGCUAAUACAUGCUAAAAACCCCGACUCACGAAGGGGUGUAUUUAUUAGAUUAAAAACCAAUGCCCUUCGGGGCUCUCUGGUGAUUCAUAAUAACUUCUCGAAUCGCAUGGCCUUGUGCCGGCGAUGGUUCAUUCAAAUUUCUGCCCUAUCAACUUUCGAUGGCAGGGUCUUGGCCUGCCAUGGUUACAACGGGUAACGGAGGGUUAGGGCUCGACCCCGGAGAAGGAGCCUGAGAAACGGCUACUACAUCCAAGGAAGGCAGCAGGCGCGCAAAUUACCCAAUCCCGAUUCGGGGAGGUAGUGACAAUAAAUACUGAUACAGGGCUCUUUUGGGUCUUGUAAUUGGAAUGAGUACAAUUUAAAUCCCUUAACGAGGAACAAUUGGAGGGCAAGUCUGGUGCGC
rnacentral:rRNA from 1 species